rnacentral:lncRNA from 1 species
GCCGUCCUCCCCGCCGCCGCCGACAUCGACCAAAGGCUAGGGGGAGGCUGCCAUCGUCGGUUCGGCCUCCUGCCGGCGUCCUUUCCGCAAACCGACACCGGAAUCGGACUCCCCAUCCCCAAAAACCCCGGAAGCAACCCUCCUCCGUCGGAAAAUCCUUGCCGGCAGCCUUGGGAAGUGUCGCGUGAGCAGCGACUUUCCGGCCCCGAUCCGCCGCCUUCCGGCCACUUUCCGGCCAAAACUCUUGUAUUUCUGGACUCCCCGCAACUUGAGCUUCGCAUAGGCGCUUCCGGAUUUGAAUUCCGACACUGUUGGCAAGACCGGCUUCCGGACCCGUUGUUUCUGGACGCGCGAAAUAUUUCAAUUUUUAACUCGGUAUAAUUUUAUUUAGACUCUGAAAAAUUUUGUUUUAAUAUUAGAAAGUUAUUGUGGCUAUUAAUUGCUUGUGAUGGGUAGUUUAAAAAUAAACCAAAUUAAAUUGUUUGGGUUGUGGUGUUUUGGAGUCGGGAAAAUAUCAGUGCAGUUCUUGUGGGCCGGCUCCUGUUAUUAAAUUCCAGCAUGUCUGAUAUGUUUUUGGCAGGUCCUGGACCCGUUUUACGGGGGGUAAAUAUCCGUAAUUUAGGGGAGGUUCUGUCAAAUUUUCGGCAGAAUUCUCGAGUCCAAUUUAAUUCUAGGCAGUCGACCUUAGUGUCUAAGUCUAGGAAAAAUUUUCGAAUGUCUAUUAAUUGUAUGUCUUUUGUUAUUAGAUAAUUCAGCCUUCCCGCCAGCUCCACCCGAGGCGUAGGAGCGGACUGUGGAACGCAUCAAGUCUGUGAGUUAAAGUCAUUUAAUCUUUGCGCUAUUGCUAGUCUGAUUUUAAUAUGCUAUUUAGAAUUUAUGCUUAAUAUGAUUAUUAGUAUCGCAAAAUAAAUGAUUUCACUUGAUUAUUAAUAUUUGAAAUAAUAUAAAUAUUAUUAUUAGUAUGUUAUAAUAAGAUAAACGUUAUUAUUUUUUCCCUCACAAAUUGCACGUUGUUUUACCUUAAAUCUUUAAUCUUUAUUUCGAUAUGUGUUGGUUGAGUUCGUUAGAUAAUGAUAUUUAUUAUAUGUGAUGAUUGCGAAUUGGGAAAUGUGGCUUGUAGAACAUGCCGCCUGAUGGGUUACAUCAGGACCGCGUGCACACCGGUAAUGAUCAUGGGCAUGUAAUAAGAUAUUUUUGGGUUUGCCCUGGUCGAGCAUGGCUCUCUGGGCUGAUUUGUAUAAAUUGCCGGAGGUAAGGUCUCUGGUUGAGCAUUACUCUCGGGGCGCCGGCUUAUUUGGAUACUUAAGUGAUCAGACUGGAGGUAAGGUCCCUGGUCGAGCAUUGCUCUCGGGGCGCCAGUCUUAUUGGAUUAAGAGAGCCGAAUGGCUACUAGAUUUCUUAUUUGGAUACUUAAGUGACUAGACUGGAGGUAAGGUCCCUGGUCGAGCAUUGCUCUCGGGGCGCCAGUCUUAUUGGAUUAAGAGAGCCAAAAUGGCUGUUAGAAUUUGGGGUUAGGGUUUUACUUAGCCACAUGUCCCGUGAAAGUAAAAAUGUCUUUAUUUAUUUACACUCCCUCCUUUUAUCAUUUUAUUAUUAUAGUGUAUGAUUUUAUAUUAUGAUUGCAAUUAUAUUCAGAAAUUGGUAUAUUGUUUUGAAUAAUUAAUAUAUCAUGUGAAGGUUGCAAUAGUCCUUAGAUUAUUUGAUUUUGACUCACUCUCGAGACUGACAGUCUCAGCUGUAAUUUUUUUUUUCCAGGUGGCAGUUAAAGACCUUCGCCAUUGCACAUUUGACAGUCCGACUUCUUCUUCUUCGUACUUUUGUAAUUAUCUUGUACUUCUAUACUUGUUAUUAUUACUCUAGAGUAUCCGCAGUAGGAAAUUUUAAAAUUUAUAUAACGAUUUUUGACUCAUGUUGGUAAUAUAAUGAUUUAUUAUGCAAGACAAUUAUGACUACUUUAUAUUUUGAUAAUUGUAAAUCUGGUUUUGCGGGUUGGUAAGGCUUACUACGGGUUUUGGUGGCCUUAAGCCUACCCAUUCCCUAGUGCCGCCCAUUCCCUAGUGCCGGUCACGGGCCCAUAAAGUGGGUCGUGACAGAUGGUUAAUGAAUAAUGUAAAUUUUCUAAAAAAAUAUGGUUUUUAUUAUAUUUUAACAUAUUAAAUUUUAAAAUGUAAUUCAAAUUUAAACUUAUUAUAUUUUUUAUAUAUUUGUGUUUGCAUAUGGGCAAUAUAUUCUUAAUCUUUUGCAGAAAAUUUGCAUGUCUAUAAUAAUUAUGUUAAUUUAAAAUCAAAAGGUAUAUUUAAUGAUAAUGCAACAAUAAAUAGUUCAUAUGUUUUAAUAUUAAUUAUUAUCACAUAUAUAUCAUAUUAAUUUAUUAAAUAUACAUAAAAAAUAUAAUAAACAAUUUAUUUGAAGUAUUUGAUCAAAGUGGGAAGUAAACUUUAAGUAAUAUAAGACAUAAAAAAAAAUUAUAUACGAAGAAUAUGCUAGUCAACCUUCAAAAUAGAAAAAGUGAAUAAAAUCCGUAAAAAAAACUGGCCAUUAGUUUUACAAUUAAUUUGUAUUAUUAUUAUAAAUUAAUAAUAUUUUUAAAAGAUAAAUAUUAAAUCUUAUUAAUAAUAAUAUCUGAAAAAAAUAUUCUCUUAAAAUAAAUAUUUUAUAUUAAUUUAUUAAUAUUCUAAAAAUAUAUUGAAAUCUUUUUAGCAGGUUACAGAUUGAUUGAAUGAAUAAAACUUAAUGAUUAAAAUUUGAAAAGAUAAAUCUAAUAGUUCAUGUGACACCAAAUAAUGAGGCGAAUGUGUUAUUUAUUUAUUUUAUUUAGUAUUCACAUAAGUAUAAGUUACAAGUCAUGUAGU